rnacentral:rRNA from 1 species
CAGCCGCCGCGGUAAUACGGAGGGAGCUAGCGUUAUUCGGGAUUACUGGGCGUAAAGCGCACGUAGGCGGCUUUGUAAGUUAGAGGUGAAAGCCUGGAGCUCAACUCCAGAAUUGCCUUUAAGACUGCAUCGCUUGAAUCCAGGAGAGGUGAGUGGAAUUCCGAGUGUAGAGGUGAAAUUCGUAGAUAUUCGGAGGAACACCAGUGGCGAAGGCGGCUCACUGGCUCGAUACUGACGCUGAGGUGCGAAAGCGUGGGGAGCAAACAGGAUUAGAUACCCGGGUAGUCCCUGUCUCUUAUAC